ensembl:lncRNA
CUCAACUCCAUCUACGGCUGUGCCACGUGUAAAACACACGUGUUUUAUGGCAAUGUGUCAGCGAUGUCCUUCAGCAAUCAAACUGGAACCGUGCUCGUAAAGGCUAGUCUCGUGUUCCAGUCAAACAAAACCAACGCUGAUGAGAUCAAAGAGCUGUUUAUGAACGCGACCGCUGGCGAUAAGGAAAUAAACGGCCUUAAAGUCAACCCUAAUUUCACACAAGUCAUAGCACCACCGUCCACCCCUGCACCAACUGUCUCCAGCACUUCCCAUACAACCAAGUCUCCACUUCUUGCAACUACACACUACAACACCGCCUCGUCCUUUAAUCAAAGUCCCAUUGCUCUGACGUCAAUUCUCCGCUAUACUGUUUCGUUCUGCCUGCUUUACUUCCUCAGCUAUUCUUUUUAAUUGUGUAAACCUGCCACUAGGGGCAGUGCAACAUCUUUAUAUAAUGAAAUA